ACUCAAGACCACAAAUUGGAGAUCCAUUUCAGAACAAAGUUUCGUCUUUUUAGUUUUUUGGUGUUUCAGAAACCCUAACCAGGGGGAGAUCUCCAGCUCCAACAUCUCAAGUUCCGCAUCCAGGAGCUAGGGCAAUGAACCACAUCAAAUCAUUGAGAGGUAUCAUGAUUACUAAGGAGGCAGUUAGGACAGUGGAGCAACGAACAUUUGCUACUGGGACUGGCAAAGCAAAAAAGGGUGCCAAAGGGGGGGCAGCAGCUGAUGCUCCAAAAUCAACACUUAACAAAGAAAUUAAAUCUACUACUGUAGUCGGUGCCAAUAUUCUCAAGGAUGGAGCAGAUCCCAAGAUCUUGCCUGAUUCUGAAUACCCUGAUUGGCUGUGGCAUCUGCUUGAUAAACGUCCUGCACUGAGUGCACUAAGAAGGGAAAAAAUUGAAACUCUCCCCUAUGAAGAUCUCAAACGCUUUGUCAAGUUGGACAACCGUGCAAGAAUCAAGGAAAAUAACUCUGUUAAGGCCAAGAAUUGACAUAAAGCAAUUUGUAAGGGGCAUUGUCUUUUACUCUUUGUUAAGUACAAGUGAUCUUAUUUGUCUAGGGUCCUUUAUGUGACUGAGUAGCAUUGUCAAAUGAUAAAUGGAAUUCCAAGGAAUACAGAAAUGUUUUGGUAUAUAUCUGUAGCUUCAGGUGCCAAUUUUUUUGAAGUAAACUCUU
rnacentral:misc_RNA from 1 species